rnacentral:rRNA from 1 species
GCCAUGCAUGUGUAAGUAUAAAUAAUUCUACUUUGAAACUGCGAAUGGCUCAUUAUAUCAGUUAUAGUUUAUUAGAAAUAAUUUACUACUUGGAUAACCGUAGUAAUUCUAGGGCUAAUACAUGAGUAAAUCCUCGACUUUGAAGAGGUGUGUUUAUUAGUAUGAAAACCAUAUGCUUUUGCAUAAUAGUGAGUAAUAAUAACCUUUCAUAUCGUAUGUUGUAAUAACGAUAGUUCUUUCAAGUUUCUGCCCUAUCAGCUUUCGAUGGUAGUGCAUUGGACUACCAUGGCAGUAACGGGUAACGAAGAAUUUGGGUUCGAUUUCGGAGAGGGAGCCUGAGAGAUGGCUACCACAUCCAAGGAAGGCAGCAGGCGCGUAAAUUACCCAAUCCUGACAUAGGGAGGUAGUGACAAUAAAUCACAAUGCGGGACUUUUAGUUUUGCAAUUGGAUUGAGAACAAUGUAAAAGAGUUAUCGAUAAACAAUUGGAGGGCAAGUCUGGUGCCAGCAGCCGCGGUAAUUCCAGCUCCAAUAGCGUAUAUUAACGUUGUUGCUAAAAAAAA